rnacentral:rRNA from 1 species
AUGGCCACCUCAUACUUGAAGGAGGUCUGAACAAAAGAUCCAACGUUGUCACCCAAUGUGGUGUUGAAUCAGAUUUUACCAAAGGUAACAGAGGAGAUGAAUGAGAGGCUCUUGGCUCGCUUUUCGGAUGAAGAAAUGUCUAACGCUUUGUUUCAAAUUGGCCCUUUGAAAGCACCAGGACCGGAUGGUUUUCCAUCUCGGUUUUAUCAAAAGAAUUGGGGGUCUUUAAAGGUGUAAAUUAUAGUGGUAGUCUGACAGUUUUUUGAAACUGGACAUAUGCCCAAUGGUGUCAAUGAUACUUCUAUCAUAUUGAUACCGGUACAACACCCGUCAUCUCUAAAAGAUUUCCGCCUUAUCUCGUUAUGCAAUGUUAUCUACAAGAUAGUCUAGUGCAUGGUGAAUCGUCUGCGACCACUUCUCACAGAUUUAAUAUCGGAGAAUCAAAGUGUGUUUAUUCCGGGAAUGCUUAUCUCGGACAACUCUAUCAUUGCAUUUGAAUUCAUUCACCAUAUUCAGAACUCUAUUGAUGGAUCUAACUCUUUUUGUGCCUAUAAGAUGGAUCUCUCCAAGGCGUAUGAUCGCAUUGAUUGUGAUUUCUUGGAGCAAGCAUUAUUUAGGUGGGGCUUCUCUCCCCACUGGAUAUCCAGGGUAAUGGAGUGUGUUCAAUCUUCUAAAUAUUCGGUGAAAUUCAAUGGGCAUCUACUGGAACAAUUUCCAUCCCGUGGGCUUCGUCAAGGUGACAUGUUAUCACCUUUCUUGUUCCUUUUCGUGGCUGAUGCUUUAUUUGCUCUAUUACAUAAUGCGGUAGAAGACAAAGGCCUGGGGACGAUCAAAAUUUUUAGGAGGGCACCCGCUAUUUCUCACUUACUAUAUGCGGAUGACUCCCUCCUUUUCUUCUGAGCUAAUCCGAACCAUGCGGCGAUUGUGAAGGAUGUUUUGAACACUUAUGCUACAACAACGGGUCAAUUUAUAAACCCUUCAAAGUGCUCCAUCCUAUUUGCUAAAAAUUGUCUUGGUCUUAUUUCUCAAGUGGUGAAGGAUACUUUGGGGGUUUCACAAUCUGAUUGUGAUCCCAAGUAUCUUGGAUUGCCAGUUCUAGAAGGGAGAAUGCAUAAAGGCAUGUUUGAAUCUCUGCAAGCUAGAUUGAGUAAGAGACUUUUGGACUAGAGUGAGAGACAUUCCUCAUCUGCAAGUAAAGAAGUUUUGAUAAAAUCGGUGGCUCAGGCCAUUCCCACCUAUGUCACGAGUGUUUUCAAAUUACCGUUUUUAGUUUGCGAUGAGCUGACCAAAAUGAUAAGGCAGUACUGGUGGGGAGUGGAAAAUGGUAAGAAGAAAAUGGCUUGGAUGGUCUGGGAUAAGGUGAUCUUAGCUAAGUCCAAAGGCGAUAUUGGCUUCAGGGACAUGAGAGUAUAUAACCAAGCCUUGCUUGCUAACCAGGCCUGGAGACUUUUAGUGGUCCCUGAAUCCUUGGGUGCAAGAUUUCUUCUAGCCAAAUAUUACCCUAAUGGGAAUUUUGUGGAUACAGUGUUUCCGAGUAAUACUUCUGCAUUUUGGAAAGGUAUCAUGCAUGGAUUGAAGCUUGUGAAGAGAGGCAUGUUGUGGCGAGUAGGCAACAGGGAAAACAUAUGGGUUUGGCGCAACCUAUGGAUUCCUCGCGGGACACCAUAUACUCCCAUACUCCCGAAAGGGAACGGUCGAAUCAAUAGGGCCAUGGACUUCUUGGAUGCCAAUGACGCCUAG